GACACUAUGCCUGUUCUGCAGCAUCCCAGGGGGACCUACGCCUGACUGUUCCUGAUCCCCAGUCACUGAUAAGGACUGGCCCAGAGUGCCUGCCAUUGUGUACCUCGAGGAGCCAGAAGAGGCCUGGAGACCACAGAUGCAGUUGCCCUCUUCCACUCUGAAGUCUGGCCAGUUGUUUGAAGAACAUAUGCUCAUGGCCAUAUAUAUGUGUAACAUGGGCAGCCGCCCGCUGAGCUCACCCCUCAUGGCCAGAGUUCCUUUUUGCAAAGGCCUCCCUCUGUUAUUCCUCUUCAGGGCCACUGAAGAACUCCACAGUCCACAGAUUACAUUCUAUGCUGGAUACUGGAGCUAUUGCUUCUGUUCAAGAAAUUGAACAGAAACAUAGAAGUCUGGAGUGCCCAGGUCUACCUUGGACUUCUCCUUGCAAAUACAGGAAAAUAAGUUUUUCCAAUGAAAAAUUAGAGUUGGACAAAACUUUUCAGCAAAAAACACAGAGUUGGGGACACCAAAAUGUUUCACAAAUUCUUGUCACCCCAAACCAAAUUGUUUCAGUUGAAAAAA